CACCCACCAUACAGGGGAACACUCGGCAGAGCCAGAGGCCUGGGCCCAAGUCCUGCCACCAGCUGGCUGUGAAACUGUGGUACAGCACCUUGUGUCCUGCCACCAGCCGGCUGUGAAACUGGUACAGCACCUUGUCCUCAGGUCCUUGGUUUCCUCACUUGUAAAUUCAUGGUUCUCCAUGGCAUCUCUGGUCUUCAACAUUAUUUUGCAUAGAGUCUCAGAAGCUUUAGUGUGAGCGGAUGAUAUGGGCACGAAGCAAGGCACCCAGAAGUGGGGGCAACUACUCUGCUUUCUAAAAUGCAAGGGAACCGGAAAAUCCAGGAGCCGUGCCAAAGUCUAUGUUCCCUUUAUGAGCUGUAACGCACACCAUGAAGGUCUGCGGCUUGGCUAUUGAGUCAGUGAGAGCGUGAACCUACUAUUAGAAGAAAAACUCUGAAUACGUCUGAACGUCAGAAAGAACGAAGUUUGGACACAUUGUCUUUAAGAACUGUAACACUCACCCCAAGGGUUUAUGGAUUCAUUCUUGAAAUCAGUGAAACCAAAAGCUUUCCAAAGUUUAACACACAGGGAAAUGACUUACUGCAAAGAACCACUCUUCCCCACGAGACUUCGAGAAGACCCGCUGUCACGGACUGAGUUGUGUCCUCUUAAAAUUCAGAUGUUGGAGUCCAAACCCCCAGUAACUCAGAGUGUGAACGUAUUUGAAGAGGUCUUUAAAGAGGUGAUGAAGGUCUUUGUCUCUGACAAUUUGCCUCUGUGACGUGGAUGGGACUGGAAGUCCAUUUGGAGCCCUGUCUUCUCCACCUAGGGAGAGAGACCCCAUGAGCUCGUCAAGCUCCUUCUGUGACUGAUCAGAGAUCCCACCGUGAGUCCAGCUCCUGGUCCCAUGCUCUGGAUAUAUCGGUCCCUGGCAGCGUGCAACUCCUUAGCCAAAGACGUGGCAACUGCGGGUGAAGUAUCUCUGGGCAGGAAAUCAAUGCAGAAAUGCAACUGGGGAGAGGGGGCUUGGGGGCCAGUUCCAGGGAGAUUGGAACUGCUGUGUUCUCAUCAGCAGAAGUGGCCCCUGCCCACCCCCAUCCUAAUCCCUUCUCAUGUGGGAGAAGGUCUGUGAGCCCUCUCCCUACCAGGCAGGUUCUAUGGCAAUGUGGGCACAUACCCUGGGGCAGGGGCCGAGGGACUUAACUCACUUCAUGAGCGCCAAUGGAGGAGCGAAGGGAAUGCCUGAUGAAAACAACAUUCUACCAGUAUGCACUGUUUUCUAACCUACAGAGUGCCUCUGUGUUCACUGUCCCAUUUGAGAAUUCUAAGUAGAAUUCUGAACAGGCUGGAGCAGAUUGCCCACCCCAAGGGACAGAUGUUGGCUGGUACUGUUGGUAUUCAUGGAAGAUUCCUUCUGACACUCCCUCCUUCUUUGUAAUUGCCAUGAACUGGAGCACUGGGCCAAUAUAAAUCAUCCAAGGGUGAACACGCUGCACAUGGACGGCUCCUCUUUGUUUUUGAAGGGAUUCCAUCUCUAUUUUGCCAUGUGCUCCUUCACCCCACUCCCCACCCCCGUCUUUCAUUUCUUUCUCUGGAAAAGAUACUUCAACUCACAGGACUGCGAUGUUGAAACGGACACCCAAGAGCAUCACAGAUGGGCCAGGCCUGGACCUCUCGGGACAACAUUCCUCACGACUUUUAGAUAGAAGAGAUUAGAGAUUUGGGACUGGUGGCAACUGGUAACGUUUUCAGUGUUUGGUAAACAGCCAGGGUCCGGAGCUCUGGGAACAGCCUGAUUUAGCUCUUUGUUUAAGUUUUGUGUUAGAGGCUCCCAAGAAGCUGAUGCAGGGGAAAGAAAUUAACAACCAUGGCUCAUUCACAGCCAGGCAGCCAAAUGGACAGCUCUAUAAGACUCAAGCCGACAGCGGAGAGAGUGCAACCAAACAGCCUUGGCCCAGCUUUCAGAGGAGAACGUUAUUCACCCCAACUGCUCUGCAUCUGCCUGGAUGUCUGCCAAGAUCUGUGAGCAUUACAGCGUUGGUAUGCUUUGGGUGAGGCCUGUGGCUAUGGCAACAAGUUGGGAGCAACCCGGUCCCUGGGAAUGAGAACAGUGUCUAAAAUCAGGCAGGCGAGGGGCAGGGAGGAGAGGUAAAGGUUGGACUUGCCUGAAGAUGGAGCCGUUUUAUUGUUGUGGGUAAAGCUGCUACCAUUAGGGGCUGUUUACAGAGUGGGUGCAGCUCAAGCUGGGAGCAUGUUAGACUCAGCGACUACGAUCAACCUAUUGACUUGUUCCCAUGAGACAGAGUAAAUUAACUGUUGCAGUACUGGUCAUGUACCACCAACCUCCUGUGAACCAGCCCUCAGUGAAACAUUUAUGUGAAAGGCCAUGGUGUUCCCAUAAGAGGGUGCAUGUUCUCUCCCUUGACUAACUCUUCAGUAUGCCUCAUUCUCACGCGCUGGUGUGCAGGAAGGAGUCCAACAUGCCCCAUUGACAGUCAUGCCCUGUAUGUGGAAAGUCUUCAGGUAGAGCACUGGGCUCAGGUUUGAAGAUGUGAGUUCUAAUCCUAGCAAGGCCAUUACCUCCCAGUGACCUCAUGUCUCGAUUUCCUCAACCACAAAACAAAGGCAUUGGUGAGCUGACCUCUAAGGCCUCUCCAGUUCUCACCUUCUGUGUCUCUACAGACUGGAGACUAGAAGAUUAUGGGCACUUUUAUUGAGUCUUCAUUUUGUUUCCAUUUCUUUGUAGUCAUCAGCUGGAGUUGAGGACAAGUUUUAACAAUAGAUAGGUUUCUUUUUGUCUCUUUUUAAAAAAUUUUAUUUAAAAUAAAUGCCAAGUGUAGUGGCUCAUACCUGUAAUCCCAGCACUUUGGGGAGGCCAAGGUGGGAGGAUUGCUUUUGAGUUUGAGACCAGCCUGGGCAACGUGGUGAGACCCUGUUUGUACAAAAAAUUUUAAAUUAGCCAGGCAUGGUGGCGUGUGCCUAUAGUCCUAGCUACUCUGGAGGUAGAGGCAGGAGGAUCCCUUGAACCUGGGAGGUUGAGGCCACAGUGAGCUGUGAUUGUGCUAUUGAACUCUAGCCUGGGCAACAGAGCAAGACCCUGUCUCUUAAAAAAGACUAUUUUUUAAGAACACUUUUAGGUUCACAGCGAAAUUUGGAGGAAACUUGGCAUAUGUCAUAUGCCCCCUGCUCCCAUGCAUGCACAGCCUCUACCAUUAGCAAUGUCCCCACUCAAAUGGUACCUUUGUUGUAAUCAACAACCCUGUACUGACACAUCAUCAUCACCCAAACUCCAUAGUUCACAUUAGGUUUCACUCUUGGUGUGGUGUACAUUCCAUGGGCUUGAACAACUGUAUAAUGACAUUAUCCACCACUGCAGGAUCAUACAGAGUAGUCUCACUGCCCUAAAACUACUCUGUGCUCCACCUGUUUGUCCCUUCUUUCACUCUAAACUCCUGGCAACAACUGACCUUUUUACUGCCUCGAUAGCUUUGCCUUCUUCGGAAUGUCAUGUAGUUGAAAUCAUACAUCAUGAAGCCUUUUCAGAUUGGCUUCAUAUAGGUUUCCUUCCUUCCUUCCUCCCACCACCUUCCUUUCUUUCUGUAUUCCUAACUCUUGGAUGUAUUUUCCCCAGCAUCAUGACUUGAUGGGACUUUUGCUAAGAUAGGCAAUCAUAGAAAGUCAUAAAUCUCUUGUCAGCCUUAUUGGCUCACCUCCGAGAUGGUUCCAACACUCUUUAAGGCCCACUUUUCCAAUCCACAGAUUCCCCAGCAGAAGUCCAAGCUGCUGAGCCUCACAUCAUCUUUUGCACUAGUAAUCUUUACCACUACUUCACUGUAGCAUUUGAAAAUUUUCAUAUGAAGCCAUAGUUCUGUGUCUUUUUUUUUUUUUUUUUUUUUUUGGAGACGGAGUCUUAACCUGUUGCCCAGGCUGGAGUGCAGUGGCACAGUCUUAGCUCACUGCAAGCUCCGCCUCACGGGUUCAAGUGAUUCUUGCCUCAGCCUCCCAAGUAGCUGGGAUUACAGGCGCGCCACCAUGCCCAGCUAAAUUUGUUGGCAUUUUUAGUAGAGAUGGGGUUUCACCAUGUUGGCCAGGCUGGUCUCAAACUCCUUACCUCAGGUGAUCUGCCUGCCUCAGCCUCCCAAAGUGCUGGGAUUAAAGGUGUGAGCCACCGCACCUGGCCUGAAGCCAUAGUUCUUAACCUCAGUUGUGCAAUAGAAUUAUCUGGGGAAUUUAAAAAUUAGAAAAAACCCAUGCCCUGAAGAUUGUGAUCUAACUGGUCUUGCGUAGCGCCUGGGCAUUGGUAUUUUUUAAAUGUUUCCCAACUGAUACUAAUGUGGCCAUUCUGCAAGCCACAGUUGAAAGGCUUAUUCAAGCAUCCUGUUGCUGAAUGCAUGUCGUCCUUACCACAUGACUCUGGAGGUUUUCUUGUAUUCUGAUGUGGCUGCCCUGUUGAGGCCUGCCCCUUAGAGUGGAGAUUAUCCCCUGCAGUAGGCUGCCUGGAAUAUGAUCCCCAGUGAUCCCUGCUUCCUGGUAUUCAGGCCCUGGUGUGAUCCCUUUCCCUUGAAGCCUGGGCUGGAUUAGUGACUUGCUUCUAACCAACAGCAUAUGGCAAAA
rnacentral:lncRNA from 1 species